GAUGAACGCUGGCGGCGUGCCUAAUACAUGCAAGUCGAGCGAACAGAUAAGGAGCUUGCUCCUUUGACGUUAGCGGCGGACGGGUGAGUAACACGUGGGUAACCUACCUAUAAGACUGGGAUAACUUCGGGAAACCGGAGCUAAUACCGGAUAAUAUUUCGAACCGCAUGGUUCGAUAGUGAAAGAGGGUUUUGCUAUCACUUAUAGAUGGACCCGCGCCGUAUUAGCUAGUUGGUAAGGUAACGGCUUACCAAGGCGACGAUACGUAGCCGACCUGAGAGGGUGAUCAGCCACACUGGAACUGAGACACGGUCCAGACUCCUACGGGAGGCAGCAGUAGGGAAUCUUCCGCAAUGGGCGAAAGCCUGACGGAGCAACGCUGCGUGAGUGAUGAAGGUCUUCGGAUCGUAAAACUCUGUUAUUAGGGAAGAACAUACGUGUAAGUAACUGUGCACGUCUUGACGGUACCUAAUCAGAAAGCCACGGCUAACUACGUG
rnacentral:rRNA from 1 species